ensembl:lincRNA
AUGCUAAAUAUGCUCUCUCUUAUCUUUUCAACUAAACCCCACCCCACUCCUUUCUUUCUUUCUUUCUUUUUUUUUUUUUUCCUGGUUAUCAUCUUCUCUAUUUUCUCUUCUAUUUUUAGUUUUCUAAGGUGGAAGCUUAGAAUAUUGGUUUCAGAUCUUUCUUCUUUUCUAGUAUAUGCAUUCCACUGGACCACCAGGGGAGUCCCCUGUCUUCUCUUUUCUAAAAGGACUCCUGGCCUGGAUUCCCUGAAACAUUUGUCUGGUGUCCCAGCAGUUACCAUGCCCCUCCUCACAGCAUUUGGAAAAGCCUGCUUUAUUUUCAGAUUCUCUUCCCUGCGAAAUCUCAGCUCUUUCUUAGUCAAUACGGUCAUCAGUAACUUGUGGUACUGUAGUAAAUCUGAAGAAAGCAAGCAAAAAAAAAAAAUUGUUUGUUGGACUCUCAGUGACCUUUGAAAAUAGCCACAAGCAAGGGGAAAACUCCAUGGAGCUGAAAGGAAAAUACCUGUGCACCAAACCCUGCCUUCCUCUUUCAUAUAGCAGGUGGUCCGUGCUGCAUAACCCACUGGUCAUGUGACCAAGCCCUUGUACGGGGGCUGAGGAUGAGAGCAAUGUGAUGUGGACCACCUCCAGGCCUGGCCCUCAAAACCACCUGUGACAUUGUUAGAAUAAUCCUCCUUUAAGUAAAAACUACAUUCCUAUCAUAGCUAUUUGCUAAUCUUUAUUUCUUUCUUCUGAAAUACAUAUGAUCACUUUCUUCCAUUUGCCUUUUUCUAAAUCUAAGAAUCUGUGAUUUCAUAACUAAGCUCAGCAUGCCUUUUCAAAUGACUCAGUGAUUAAAACUGAGGGCAUCCAGUUGAUCUUAGGGACUUCCCUAUUGCUCAGAUGGUAAAGAAUCUGCCUGUAAUGCAGGAAACCUGGGUUUGAUCCCUGGGUCAGGAAGAUCCCCUAGAGGAGGGCAUGGCAGCCCACUCCAGUAUUCUUGCUCAUUCCAUGGACAGAGAAGCCUGGUGAGCUACAGUCCAUGGGGUCGCAAAGAGUCAGAGAUGAUUAAGUGACUAAUACACACAGAGGUUGAUAUUUACAGAUAAUUGAUUAUAUAUCUGUGAGAGGCAGGUGAGUAUAGGGGUUAAGAGUUCAGGCUCUGGGGUUUUAAUUCUUGCAGGACCAGUGUCUGGCUGUGUGACAUCGGGAAAAUUGUUUUAGCUUUUGAGUCUCAAUUUCCACAUCAGUAAAAUCGGGCAAGUAAUAGUACUUUAUAAGGUUGCUGUGAGGAUUCAAAGAAUUAUUAUGUGGAAAGACUUAAGAGAAUAACCUCAAUAAAUGUACCCAAUGAAUGUUAAUUGUGCUCAUCACUUAGUCAUGUAUGACUCUUUGUGACCCCAUGGACUAUAGCCCACCAGGCUCCUUUGUCCAUGGGAUUCUCCAGGCAAGAAUAUUGGAGUGGGUUGCCAUACCCUCCUCCGGGGGGUCUUCCCAACCCAGGGAUCGAAUACAGGUCUCCUACACUGUGGGCAGAUUCUUUACUGUCUGAACUACCAGCUAUCACUAUUAAUACUUGUAAUAAAACAGGUCAGCAAAGCAGGGCAUUGAGUAUUAAAUCUACCACUGUUUCACAUACCUAUACUCAGUUCAUCGUAUGUAAUGAUAGCUUCUCUCUCCCUACAUGUUGCUCUUCUGUCUGGAGAAAAGUCUGUGUCAUUUCUGAUCGUUUGACUUAACUCGUUGCCUGCCUGCUCUGACAUGAGCAGGAUGAAAUGAUGAAGGAGCAUUGGCAGAUGAUAAAUGGAUUUCUAGAGAGUGAAAUUCAGCCAAAGGACAUCUGCUUAAAAGGAAUUAUGUUUCUAGCCUCAUUAGUGCCCGUCAAUUGCCAGGCUUUGUCCUUCUGCAGUUUGGGCCUGAGAGCUGCCAUCUCUUUGGAGCUCCUCUCCCUCCCUGGCUCAUGGCCCCCAUGUGUUCUCCACAGGGGGUUAUUCGGAAAAGUGUCCCAGUGAACACAUUUCCUGGCUACUGGAAUUCAGCUGUCCUCAGCCUAUCAUUUUCAAUCCCUCUGGAAAAGGGAAGAAUAAUUCUAAAUAAAGUUCUAAAGAUACACAUACUAGAGCAUCCCUCAGGAUUUGUGCAGUGUGAGACAUAAGGUUUAUAUACCAGUGACUGAGGUAAAUUGGAAAAAAAGUACAGUCAUGUCACCACAGAAGAUCCACUUUUGUGAGCAGACAGCAUCGUCUCGGGGUUUAAGGCUGAAGUCUGGGGGCCUUUUGCAUUCUUUGCACGCUGUCUCCUGUCUUCGGAACUGAAGGGAGCCCUAGGGUCUCCCCUAUCUUUGUGUCACCUGCAUCUUCGCAGGCCUGAGGAAGACUAGCAGAGAGAAGAAGAGUGUAGUUCUGCUAUUCACGCCCUUUAUGGACUUGGACGCGUUGGCCAAGUACUGAAGUCUUGGUUCCCGCAUAUAUGAGUGGAGAACUCCUGGUCCCUCUCCUUGGGUUGCUGUGAGAGCUUGUGAAGGGCUUAGUCUGGUGCCUGACACAGAGUAAGAGUUUGGGAAGUGGUUGCUUUUGGUGUAGGAGCGAGGGGGUGUGCUUUUCUGUGUCUGGGUGCAGUGCCCUGAUCUCCUCACCGUGUUAGUCUCACACUCCCAGAAAAUCUCACAGCUUGGAGACUUGAGAGUGGAUUCUGAAUGCUCUAAUGCUCGCUUACAUGUAACAAAACACUAACUGGGGGUUUCAUAAAUGAUGCUCCGUGUACAAUAAAAACAAAUUGAAAACUGAGAGAGCCACACAUCUCAAGGGUUGGGUGAAAAACUCUUCUUAUAAAAGAACAGAGAGCAACAGCUAGGAAUUGUAAGUUAUUGGGCUCCUGCCACAUGAUAACUUUAGUGAUGGAAAUGGUACAUCCAUCCUUACAACUUCCUUACUUCAUUCACUCAUUCUUUUAUUAAUUCAUCCUGCAAAUGUCUAAUUUAAUUU